rnacentral:rRNA from 1 species
GAUGAACGCUGGCGGCGUGCUUAACACAUGCAAGUCGAACGGUGAAGGCGGAGCUUGCUCUGCUGGAUCAGUGGCGAACGGGUGAGUAACACGUGAGCAAUCUGCCCCUGACUCUGGGAUAAGAGCUGGAAACGGCGGCUAAUACUGGAUACGAGCUGCGAAGGCAUCUUCAGCAGCUGGAAAGAAUUUCGGUCAGGGAUGAGCUCGCGGCCUAUCAGCUUGUUGGUGAGGUAAUGGCUCACGAAGGCGUCGACGGGUAGCCGGCCUGAGAGGGUGACCGGCCACACUGGGACUGAGACACGGCCCAGACUCCUACGGGAGGCAGCAGUGGGGAAUAUUGCACAAUGGGCGAAAGCCUGAUGCAGCAACGCCGCGUGAGGGACGACGGCCUUCGGGUUGUAAACCUCUUUUAGCAGGGAAGAAGCGAAAGUGACGGUACCUGCAGAAAAAGCGCCGGCUAACUACGUG